UUGAGUUUUUACUCAUUGUGAGAAAAACGCUUGUAAAGUCACGCGAGUUUUCAUGUCUUAAUUUUUAGGGUUUCCCUUCAAAACAGAGUAUCUUUGAAAGUAGAAAGAAUAAAAUAAGCUAGAAAGAAAUCAAAAAAUACUUUUUGAACAGCCCUUCUCAGCUUCCACGAUAAAGAUUUCCCAAAAAUCUAUAUUUAGAAUAAAUACACUGUGUAAACUUAGGAGUCAGGUCAGCGAGUAAACACAUGUAGAUUCACUACCUUUUACGUCAUGUUACUGCAUAUUUGGAGGUUUAAAUAAAUAUAAAGGUCUGACAGCCAACAUACAUUUAAGAUCUUCAACUUAGUUCAUCAGAGUUUUGAAGUAGAUAAUAUGAUUAUCCAGCAUGUUGGAGCCAUAUUCUUCAAGGAAAUGUACUUAAGACAUAGAUAGUUCACCUAUUUGCUGAUGAAUAUACUAAACUAUUGUUGGAAAUGAGGCACAAUGUGUGACAUAGUUCUAUGCCCUAUUGAUCACC